UUAAAACAAGGAAGUGGAGACAAUGUUUCGGCUCCUCUCUGAGCCUUUAUCGAGUUUGUCUCAGAGAGGAGCUGAAACGGUGUCUCCACUUCCUUGUUACA